GACCAAAGGGGGCGAGCGUAAGCAGCUCUCACCGAAGGAGGAGCCUGCGUCCGAUUAGCUAGUUGGUGGGGUAAUGGCCUACCAAGGCGACGAUCGGUAGCCGGCCUGAGAGGGCGAUCGGCCACACUGGAACUGAGACACGGUCCAGACUCCUACGGGAGGCAGCAGUGGGGAAUAUUGCGCAAUGGGCGAAAGCCUGACGCAGCGACGCCGCGUGGGUGAUGAAGGCCUUCGGGUCGUAAAGCCCUGUCUGGUGGAACGAAACGCCUGGCGGCCAAUACCCGCUGGGUUUGACGGUACCACCGAAGGAAGCCCCGGCUAACUACGUGCCAGCAGCCGCGGUAAGACGUAGGGGGCGAGCGUUGUUCGGAUUUACUGGGCGUAAAGCGCGCGUAGGCGGCCAGAUAAGUCGGGUGUGAAAGCCCUCGGCUCUACCGAGGUUCCGCAUCCGAUACUGCUUGGCUGGAGUCUAGGAGAGGAGAGCGGAAUUCCCAGUGUAGCGGUGAAAUGCGUAGAUAUUGGGAGGAACACCCGUGGCGAAGGCGGCUCUCUGGACUAGUACUGACGCUGAGGCGCGAAAGCUAGGGGAGCGAACGGGAUUAGAUACCCCGGUAGUCCUAGCCGUAAACGAUGGGCACUAGGUGUGGGAGGUAUUGACCCCUUCCGCGCCGAAGCUAACGCAUUAAGUGCCCCGCCUGGGGAGUACGGCCGCAAGGCUAAAACUCAAAGGAAUAGACGGGGGCCCGCACAAGCGGUGGAGCAUGUGGUUCAAUUCGACGCAACGCGAAGAACCUUACCAGGGCUUGACAUCCCACGAACCUGCCUGAA
rnacentral:rRNA from 1 species